rnacentral:rRNA from 1 species
ACGGAAGGCAGCAGUGGGGAAUAUUGGGCAAUGGGCGCAAGCCUGACCCAGCAACGCCGCGUGAGGGAAGAAGGUUUUCGGAUUGUAAACCUCUGUCCUCAAGGACGAAGGAAGUGACGGUACUUGAGGAGGAAGCCCCGGCUAACUACGUGCCAGCAGCCGCGGUAAUACGUAGGGGGCGAGCGUUGUCCGGAAUGACUGGGCGUAAAGGGCGUGUAGGCGGCCGAUUAGGUGUGGAGUGAAAGUCCUGCUUUCAAGGUGGGAAUUGCUUUGCAGACUGGUUGGCUUGAGUGCGGAAGAGGUAAGUGGAAUUCCCAGUGUAGCGGUGAAAUGCGUAGAGAUUGGGAGGAACACCAGUGGCGAAGGCGACUUACUGGGCCGUAACUGACGCUGAGGCGCGAAAGCGUGGGGAGCAAACAGGAUUAGAUACCCUGGUA